CGGGAGGGCUGGCGGUUCGCUCUGUGCGUGCGCGUCGGCGCCCCGCCCCACCUGCUGCCUGCACCUGCAAGCCCAGCCUGCAGGUGGGCUCCGGGAGCCGGGCUGCUGCGGCUCCGCCUCCCAGCGUCGCCUGCGGCCCGGGGGUCCCGACCCUAGCGAAGCCCAGAGCAAAACUGCAGAGGACAGGCGGGUGUUACUCCAGUGUUUGUACCAGGGCGCUCCUGUGCGGUGAAAGCCCAUCUCCUGAUCAGAUGAUGUACAAAUAAAAUAAAUAUAUGCUCAGUCCAGCCCUGCCGGAAGAGGCCCCUCCUGCUCCCUUGCACUAGGCACCAGCUCGGCCCUUCCCAAGCGUGGGCAAAUCCAGCCUGGGGCUCCAGGUCCACAGGGCUUCCCGGAAAACCACUUCCUCCGUCCUUAGCAGGAGGAAAAACAGAGAGGCAAGGGAGUUCAUUUCCCCCAAAGUGCACCAGAAGCAGUGCCUCAGAGGGGAUCGAACUCGGAACCUUACGCUUGCGGGGCAGGCGACGGAACCACUGAGCUUCAUCCCAGGCCCACUUUUGUGCUUUCUCUCUCAUCUUCCAAGUCAAACACUGAAGACGGAGGGGGUCCUGGACCUAGCUCACCAUUCUUUGUGAUGCCUCCUCUGGAAGCCCUGCCCAGUGCUAGACAGUCAGUGAUCCUCCUGCCUCGGCCUCCCGAGUGCUGCUCAGCCGUGGUCGGCCUAGGGUCACAGAGGGAGGAAGCGUGGAGCCCACGGUGGUAUUGAAGUGCGUGUGGUGGUGGGAUGCUAUUCUUCCCAGCCCUGGAGUGAAGAGGGGAUUUCUAAAGUCCACAGUGAGAUGCGGAUGCAGAGAUCUCACCCCAAGAGCACGCCCCCCGCUGCCCAGCAGGAGCCCGACGGAAUGUCCAUGGGGCUCCCAAUGCCCAGAGCUGGACACGGACACAACAGCCGACGGUGAGCCUCCAUGCAGAGCCCCCCCCCGCCGUGGGGGACAGCAGCUCUCGAACCUCAAAGUGUCACAGAAGCCCUGCCACGGACGAUGUGGAGAUCCUGAUGGAAAUCCUGUGUCCACCCGGCUUCGCUCAUGGACCUGACCAAUUUGCUUCCUGCCCCUAACGCACUGAGAUUCCAGGGGAGCGGCAGGCGGCUCCUCUCUCAGACCUUCUGGUCCCCCGCACUGGGGAGGCGCAGGCAGCCCGCAAGUCUGGGGUCCGACCAACCAUGAAGGAGAGAAAAACAAAGUGAAGCCAUUGUUCAAAGCCAUGAGAGCAGGCGUGGUGGUGCCCAGUUGUAACCCAAGCACUCCGGGAGGCUGAGGCAGGAGAAUCCCCAUUGGAGCCCAGCCUGGGCAACUAUGGGACUUGCCAAGAUCCUAUCUCAAAGCAAAACAAAACAUCUUUAAGAGAGGGCUCAGGAGGUGGCUCACUGUGAAGGCGGUGGGCUCCAUCCUCAGGGCCACAAAAAAUAAAACUGCUGGCUAAAAGUCUUUGUUUCGUAAAAAGCCAACAGAUCUGUGAAUGCAGUUAGUGUUCAUAUAUCCCUGUGGCAGUUUAAACAUAAAUAUCCUUUCCCUUUCAAAUGUAUAUAAGAAACUUUGUAAGAAUAAUAAACACAUGGUGUAAAAAAAAAGAAAACCUAAAAAACCAAAGUCAAACAAAAAGAGAAAUGAAAUAAAGCUAAAAAAAAAAAAAAAGAGAGAGAGAAAACUAAGGCAGCCAGGAAAGCUACCAUGAAACUGAGAAGUGAGAUUUGUAGCAGGUUAAUAAGGCAAAAUACAAACGCGAGGCCCAGAGGCCUGGAGGGACACGGCCACUGUGAUUUGGAAGCGUUCUUUCUGCCCCACAGCCCAAUAGCAGGGAAAAUAGAUAAAUAAAAAGUUUACGGUUUCAGAUACACAGGAACGCGCUUAAUAGUUCUUUCUAUGAAGCACUCAGGUGCCAUAUCAAGGGGCUGUACACUCGGUGACUUAAAGCAACAAAGAGCCAUCUUCUCCCAUCCCAGGGCCUGGGAGGCUGAGACAGAGGCGUCCCGGGCUGCGCUCCCUCCACAGGCUCCCGGGAGACCCUCCCGCCUCUGCCUCCUCCGGGGCUCCAGGCGGCCCUGGGCUGCGGCCCCAUCAUGCCAGGCUCUGCCUCCGACUCCACCCGGCUUCUCUGUCUCUGUGUCUGCGUCUCCUCCUCUGCCUCUCGUGAGGACGCUGCCACUGGAUUCAGGAGGCUGAGGCAGGACGGCCUCGGCUCCAGAGCCUCCUCUGAUUCCCUCUGCAGCAGCCCGGUUUCCACUCAGGCCCCGGCCCAGGUCCUGGGCUCAGGACCUGGACCCACCUUCGACCCCGGGCACAGCCAGGCUCACUGAACAGGCUCCACGAGAACGGCCAGGCCAACAGCCCUGUCUGCUUGGUCGUAGGCAGUGAGCUCCGUGCCACGCGAUUCGGCAGAAACAACUUCAUGGUGGAUGCAGCCCCAGGACCGGGCCCCUUCCUGCGAAGCUGUUUCCAGAAACUAAAUGUUGCUGCGCCCCGCGAUAUUUCCAGAGAGGCCCCUGGGGCGUACAGGUACUGUUUCCUGUAGGAGAUCAAGAAGAGGACCAGUCGUGAUUAGAUCAAACCAUGACCUCAAACCGUGCCCAGAGAUGAAAGCAGGAUUUUCUGUUCGAGGCACGGCCUCCCCACGUGGUGCAGGCUGACCCGAAUCUCACUACGGAGCCCAGGUUGGCCUGGAACCUGCAGCCAUCCUCCUGCCUCAGCCUCCCAAGUGCUGGAAUGACAAGUGCAGACCACGUGAAGUUGACACCGAAAAGCCUGCCUCCCGAGGGGGAACGAGGCUCUCCUCAUGGUCUGCAGAGACUGGACGGCCACCCCAUAGCUCUGCCAGGUUCGGGGGCUGCAACUCAGAGGUAGGCCUGGGGCCAGCACUGUCCAAGUCCCGAGGCGGCAACCUCUGCCGGGCCCAUGAGCAGGGGCGGGAACAGCAGAGACGUCCUGUACUGCAGGGGAACACAGGGCCAGGGCAGGCGCCAGGCCGAGAGGUCAGGCUGCAAGAGCCAGAGCCCCAAGGGACGUGUCUCUACGAGGGGACUAGGCGGCUUCACUUCAUCACCCUGACACCUCUGCACACCCCUGUUCCCAGACACCUCACCUCCGGAGCGAUCUGCUUAGGCCAGGUCUUCGGGCUGGGCUCAAACUGGCAAAUCUGCCCGCCUCAGCCUCACGUACCAAGAUAAUGCUCAAAUGCCAUAUUUUGAACAUCAAAAUUAAUGCCAAAAAUGCGAUGAACAAAACAAUCAGCGCUCUGCUGAUUCCUAUGGGCGCCUGAAGAAAAAUAUGUAGAAGAAAGCUAUCCGCACCUCCGUGAAGCUGUCCGGUGCUUUGCCCUCUGAGAGUUCAUUCUUUUUUUUCCGGAACAUUUACAUAGCAACAAAUAUAAUGAAAAUAGAAACACAGAUGUGUGUAAACUAAGACCGUUGCUUUAAAUAUUUAAUUUAUACCCAAACUAGACCUGUUUUCUGGUAAUUGUACUUUCCCGGCUUUAGUGCAGCCGUGCUUAUGAAAAUUAGUCUGAAGCUAGGCACGGCGCGCACACCUGUAAUCCCAGGACCGUGGGAGGCUCAGGCAGGAGGUUCACAACAGCGAGGCUACCUGGGGAAACUUAGCGAGACCCUCUCUCAAAAUGAGAAAUAAAAAAGUGUUUUAAAAGGGCGGGGGCUGGAGCACAGCAGGAAGGGUCUGAGUUCUAUCCCCUCUGGCCCACUGUUGCUUCCGUUUUGGGUGCUUUCUUUCCUCACAAACUUUUCCCUUUUUUUCAGGGUUUCUACACACUGCCGCACAUUUUUAGUGGUGCUGAGCACUAAGUUUAAGCUGUGCGGCUGAAGCCAGGGGUGGUGCACGCCUGUUGUCCCAGCACUCAGGAAGCUGAGGCAGGAGGAUCACUUUGAGUUCCAGGCCAGCCGGGGCUACACAGCGAGACCGUGUCUCAAAUGAACAAAGAAACUUGUGCAGCUGAGCUGAGUCCGCCAGUGCUCAAACCCCCGCCCUGCCCAGCGUGCGCGGCCCCCCUGGACUCCUCAAUUUCCUGGGCUCCCUCAGACAUGGGGCCUUGACCUACUUUUUUCAACUUGUAACUUUCUGAUGAGUCCCCAGUUGCAGUACAUAACCGUGGGGAGUCGUGCAUGGACAGAACACAUCUCAGUCCGUUUUCUGGCCCCUUGCCCUCCCUCCUCUCUACCUGUUGGUCCACUUCUGUUUUCCAAAAGGUCCAGCUCUGAAUUUCCUGCUUUUUUUUUUUUUUGGUCCUUAUUUACAUGUGUUUAUUUACAUGGGUUUCUCAGAU